rnacentral:rRNA from 1 species
CGAACUGGUGAGUAACACGUGGGUAACCUGCCCUAAAGCAGGGGAUAACAUUUGGAAACAAAUGCUAAUACCGUAUAAUUAGUUGGAACCACAUGGUUCCAACUUGAAAGAUGGCUCUGCUAUCACUUUAGGAUGGACCCGCGGCGUAUUAGCUAGUUGGUGAGAUAAUAGCUCACCAAGGCGAUGAUACGUAGCCGACCUGAGAGGGUAAUCGGCCACAUUGGGACUGAGACACGGCCCAG